AGCGAACGCUGGCGGCAGGCCUAACACAUGCAAGUCGAACGAACCUUUCGGGGUUAGUGGCGGACGGGUGAGUAACACGUGGGAACGUGCCUUUAGGUUCGGAACAACUCAGGGAAACUUGUGCUAAUACCGAAUGUGCCCUUCGGGGGAAAGAUUAAUCGCCUUUAGAGCGGCCCGCGUCUGAUUAGCUAGUUGGUUGAGGUAAUGGCUCACCAAGGCGACGAUCAGUAGCUGGUCUGAGAGGAUGAUCAGCCACAUUGGGACUGAGACACGGCCCAAACUCCUACGGGAGGCAGCAGUGGGGAAUCUUGCGCAAUGGGCGAAAGCCUGACGCAGCCAUGCCGCGUGAAUGAUGAAGGUCUUAGGAUUGUAAAAUUCUUUCACCGGGGACGAUAAUGACGGUACCCGGAGAAGAAGCCCCGGCUAACUUCGUG
rnacentral:rRNA from 1 species